UUACUUCAAGUCCACUGAUGGCCACAACAACAACUGGUCAUUCGACUAUUCUCACCUUAAUCUCCCUGUACUCGCUCACCUUGCUGCAAAACGUGACAUUUCUAGAUGACCAUACGACCUAGGUCAUCAUUGCCUCCUCCGAUCAGUCGUCGGGCUUCUCCGAUCAGUGUUGUACGCCUCUGAUUAUCCUCUCCACGAUCAUCCAUCUCAUCUCAGGCUUUGGCUUCGGGGAUUUUCCAAAUCAACACCGCCGUCUCUUCCUUCUUCCGCCUCGUCAAUUCCCUUGGCACCCCCAAAGAUAUUCUUCAACUUCGAGAAAAACUACACAAAACGAGGAACCAUAUCACACAAUUGGUGAAGGAGACUUCAUCCAAACUCAGUCAAGCCAGUGAGGCCGAUCACCAACAUAAUAAUCAAAUUACAGUGUUUAUGUGUUGAGACGAACUUCAAAGAAACUUUUGUGGCAAUAGUUUGCAAGAGUUGGUUGUGAUGCCAUACAUCUUCAUAUAGUUAGGCUCUUGAGACACAGAUAGAUGGAAACAAAUGGAAGGUCAUGGCACACAUUUUAGGCUCGGCAAUAGGCUUUCAAAUCUAGUGCAAAUAAUAAAGCAUCAAAAUAUCUUUAGAUUUCGUUGUUCACUUUUAAAGUGAAACAUGAAAGUUUUUUCAAAUUUUAGCUAAACCUUUUAGCUAGAAGUUUAUUAUGAUGACUUUGAUUCUCUAAACUUUACUUUUUGAAAGAUGGUUCACUUAAGUGAAAUAUGUAUUUGGACCGAGUUACCUAAUAUGAUGAUAUUGAUAUUUUUUAAGAUCUAA